GGGGGAAUAAGGAGAGGGCAAGUCUGGUGUCAGCCGCCGCGGUAAUACCAGCUCUCCGAGUGGUGUGGAUGUUUAUUGGGCCUAAAGCAUCCGUAGCUGGCUAGGUUAGUCCCCUGUUAAAUCCACCGAAUUAAUCGUUGGAUUGCGGGGGAUACUGCUUGGCUAGGGAACGAGAGAGGCAGACGGUAUUUCCGGGGUAGGGGUGAAAUCCUAUAAUCCCGGGAAGACCACCAGUGGCGAAGGCUGUCUGCUAGAACGCGUCCGACGGUGAGGGAUGAAAGCUGGGGGAGCGAACCGGAUUAGAUACCCGGGUAGUCCCAGCUGUAAACGAUGCAGGCUAGGUGUUUGAACGGCCACGUGCCGUUCUAGUGCCGCAGGGAAGCUGUUAAGCCUGCCGCCUGGGGAGUACGAUCGCAAGAUUGAAACUUAAAGGAAUUGGCGGGGGAGCACCACAAGGGGUGAAGCUUGCGGUUUAAUUGGAGUCAACGCCGGAAAUCUCACCGGGAGCGACAGCAGAGUGAAGGCCAGAUUAAAGGUCUUGCCAGACAAGCUGAGAAGAAGUGCAUGGCC
rnacentral:rRNA from 1 species